rfam:Aedes aegypti strain Liverpool supercont1.1009 genomic scaffold, whole genome shotgun sequence.
UGCCCAGCAACUCCUAUUCCUACCUCCUCGCGGUACUGGCCGGGGUACGAGUAACCUUAGGGAAGAUCGGGUAACCAACCCCCGGUGGGAACUUUGGUCGUAUGCUGACAGGGAAGG